rnacentral:lncRNA from 1 species
CAAAAGGAUCCAUUCAGCUCAUGUGGUCCUCACAUCAGAACACAAUUGCACCCAGCACAGAGUGAACUCUCAUGCGGGUACUCUUUGAAGAUCAGAGAGGGGGCCAGGAUGUGGUCCAAGAUUUGCAAAUUUGGGUGAGAAACUUAUAGCCCCCACCUACCCCACCAAUCACUGGAAGCUGCUGACAUUUAUGAGAAGGAGGAGCCGACAGUGGAGGAUGACCAUGAGGGUGGAGGCUCACCACAAACUUGAAACCUUCAAGACCAUUAUCCAUUAACGGGGGAGGAGCACAGGUUCUGUGAGUCACAACUUGAGUUGUAUUAUAUUAAGUAAGGUAAAGACCGUCAACCACGGCAUAUGAGGUCAGGCCACGUUUUGCUGGUGGUUUUUAGAGCUGCUUGGGUUUUAGAAUUGUGGAUAAGGAGUGGUGGACUUGUACACAUUCUAACUCUGGUUUGCUAUUCAGUGUUGAGGAAGUUACUUCCCAGUGCCUCAGGAUAUAGUCACCUAGAUGUUGAGGAAUGACUUAUCUCCAGGAUUAAAGCAGUUGCUGCCACACACAGUGCCAUGAAUUUUAUAAGUAUCCUACAUAUGCGGUUCUUUGAGUGCUCACUACAGCAAUGAAAUCUGGCUAACUUCCCAGAGAGGGAACUGAUUGGAGGAAUAUGGGUGAAUGAAAACACCCAAAGGACGAGCUGAACAGUGAAGAAGAGUAAGACCCAGGGGAGCGGGGGGAGCGGGGAGAAUCAGCUCCUGUAUUUUCUGUGUGUGUUAUGGCAGUCAAAAUUGAGGGCCUGGAGGAGCCAUGUUUGCAAAGCUAAAUCAAAUUUCAGCCUCUUGCCUGAGGAAGCCAGCUCUUUGACUGUAGGAGGAACGGGACAGUUUCCAUCCCUCUACCCAUAACUCCAGCACCAAGAUCAUGUCUGGUGAGGACGAACUCAUUUGCGGUACCUUCUGUCCUCAGUAAAUGAUGCAUUGUAAACUCAUGGGGAAAGGAGCCAUCCAAAGAAAAAUAUGUAUCAUUUAUGUAACAUACCGUUUAAAGGUCUAGUUUCUUGUCUUGGUCCUGCUGCUUAUUAUGUGUGACCUUAAGUGAAUCACUCCAAGUCUCUCAUUUUUAUUUUAUUUUUUAUUUAUUUAUUUUGAGAUGGAGUCUUGCUCUGUCACCCAGGCUGGAGUGCAGUGGCGCCGUCUCGGCUCACUGCAACGUCCACCUGCCAGGUUCAAGUGAUUCUCCUGCCUCAGCCUCAUCAUAGCUAGGACUACAGGUGCCACCACCACACCCGGUAAUUUGCAAGCCUCUCAUUUUUAAAGCAGGUAAUAAUGGUGCUCUCAUUCUAUUAAUAAGGUUGCAAUAAGAGUCAAUGCAAUGCUGGACAUAAAGCACUUGGAACUAAGUAAGGUCUCCGCAACACUCAUCAGUGUUGGUACUUCCUAUGCACCCAGGCCGACAUCAAUGUUAAUUUGUUUCUUGGCAGAUGUCAAACCAAACAUUUACUAAAUGGUGACUCUUCAAGUCAUUCUGCUGUAUCCUUAGCUACCUUUUAGAGGGAAUGAAGUUCACAAGGUAAAUAUAACAACCAAGAGAAUGAGUAACUCCACAAAGAAGCACGCCCAGGGAGGUGGUCCACAAGUACUGUUUAAAGUCCACAAAGAGGCUUACAGAGGGCACAGACUCACUUUCCUUCCUGCGGUCAUUCAGUCCAUACCACCCCCAGAGGCUGGGCAGGCUCACCAGCCCAGGGCACCCUGGGGCUUAGAAAUAGAUUUCAGAUAGCUUUUAAGAUGAUGCUGAUCAAAUUCCUCCUUUUGAAUAUUAUUUAGUUAUCUCACUAAACCAAAAUAAUCUGGAAAGAAAACGUAUUUAAUACCUACUCUUCUAUAUUAAAAGACAAAACAAAACAAAAACGGGCCGGGCACGGUGGCUCACGCCUGUAAUCCCAGCACUUUUCGAGGCCAAGGUGGGUGGAUCACCUGAAGUUGGGAGUUCGAGACCAGCCUGACCAAAAUGGAGAAACCCCGUUUCUACUAAAAAUACAAAAUUAGCCGGGCAUGGUGGCGCUUGCCUGUAAUUCCAGCUACUCUGGAGGCUGAGGCAGGAGCAUUGCUUGAACCCAGGAGGUGGAGGUUGAGGUGAGCCAAGACCGCGCCAUUGCACUCCAGCCUGGGGCAACAAGAGCAAAACCCUGUCUCAAAAAAAAAAAAAAAAGAAAGAAAAGAAAAAACGAUACCAUAAGACUAAAAAGAAAGGACAUAUUCUGAAAACAUUCAAACUAUGUCAGAGAGCAGUGGCAUAUUUGAGCUGAUAAGAAUUAUCGAUAAGGAAAUUCACUCCAGCAGCUUCUCUGUGGACUCCCUGCAGCCUUGCUUCAUUGCUCAAGACAAUACAAGUCAGGAAUUGUACAGUAUCAACUUGGUAAGUUUGAAGGAUAAAGGAGUUUGGAAGAAGAGAGGAAGAAAAUGUGGCCACAAAAUACUACUGAAUUCUUAACGCAUAGCAAUUCCUUCCCUUUCCCAUUGUCCCUGUUGCCUGCCGGGCCUCACAGGAUGGACAGAGAAGGCUGGGUUUGUUUCUUCUCAUUGCCUGUCUUUGUCUGAACAGCUCUCAGGGCGGUAGAUAGAAUGGGAGUGGGUGCUGGGUUUCCCUCCCUGGAGGGGCCGAGGGGAAGUGACAGUGGGGAAUAUGCCUCCUGGGCCAGGUCUGUGAAUUAAAAACACGGAAUGGGCCAUGCAGUGGCUCACACCUGUAAUCCCAACACUUUGGGAGGCUGAGGCAGGUGGAUUGCUUGAGUCCAGGAGUUGGAGACCAGCCCGAGUGACAUGGCAAAACCUCGUCCCCACAAAAAAAUAAAUAAAUAAAUAAAAAAUAAAAAAGAAAGAAAGAAUAAUUAGCCAAGUGUGAUGGUGUGUGCUUGUGGUCCCAACUACUUUGGAGGCUGAGGCAGGAGGACCGCUUGAGCCCAGGAGGCGAGAGGCUGCAGUGAGCCGAGAUCACGCCACUGCACUCCAGCCUGGGUGACAGAGCCAGACCCUAUCUGCAAAUAAAACUAAACAAGACAAAAACAUGGUGUGGAGAUACAAGGUGGAAGCAGGCUGGAAAAAAUAUCCCUGGUAAGGAUACAAUGAAGGAAUGCUGGUAACCUCACCCUGGUGUUCCUUCGCCAGCGGCGAGGGCUGUGGUUUUCAUCAUGGGAGAAGCCCUUAACUAGGCUUCUAAACUAGCUGCAGAGUCCGAGCAUCAACCUCCACUUGACAAGGAUGGGCUUCUCUUCUACUACAGGGUCUACUUGCUCUAGAAUCAGCAAUCAGAGGUAAUCCUCAACCUCACCUGCCAACUUAUGCCAGCUGAUAAGACAUCAGCGGACACAGACCUUUUCUGAACAAAGUAGAACUCAGGAAUCCCCAAGCGUCCAGCAGGCAUCAACUAUCACACUCUGGCCCUGGUGGUGACAGAGCAGGGAGACCUAAGAGAUGGCGGGGUCCAGGAUUCCACUCACAUCCACAGGAAUGUGGUAGAUGCUGCCAGCAAGGAGGGUGAGGGAGGCGGACAGGAGCCCUGAUGCUCCUUUUCAAUUACCUUUGUGACAGCCCAUCAGAGGAGUUGGGCUGCCUCAUUGCAGAGAGGCUCAUGUAGGGGAGAGGAGGGUGCCAGAGCUGGAUUAUCACCCACCCCUCCCUUGGGGUGUGGGUAGCUGAGCUGGGAGUAAGGAAAUCUGGAGAACUGAAGGAGGCAGGGUUUUUUGAUUUAGGAAGAGCCCAUCCGUACAAGAAGGAGGUUGGGGCCCGGAGAGCAGGGACUCUUUGUGUGUCAGUUGAUUUGUUCUAAAGGCAGCCCAGAUAGGGACAGUCUUAGACAAAGAUAUUGAUUGCACUCAAAAAAUAUUAUAAAUCAGAAAUCUGGAAGUAUGGCCUGCCUUUUAGUGAAACAUAUUCCAAACUGCCAGGACUCUCUCAUAAAAGGUAAUCUAAAAUCGUCAAGAACAUUUCCUUUUCCUGUAGUUAUUCUGUGAAUUAUGUCACCUCUUACUCUCAGUGAAUGCCCUUUGAUCUGAUCCUUGUUAAUGUCCUGUCCUGCUGAGUUUUAUUCUCCAUAAUUCAUGUAUGUGGGGGCUUGCUUCAUUUUGGCUCAGACAUGCGGGGAAAAGAGUCCAGUUCUCUGGACCAGAGCCUAUGAAAUCACGCCUUUAAAUACAUUCCUAAUUUUGAUAUUUAUUAUAACAAUGUAAGACUUUGGUUAUAAUAAUGAAAGGAGAACCAGUUGAUUUCAUUGAGCAACUCAAUCAAAUAAUUCCUGAUGUGGAAGAGGGAAGUUUAUUAGGAUCCUGAGCUAGCAUGGAGCAUGGCCAUUUAGAGCAUGAGAAAAAUGCUUAAGUUCCCCCAGUUAGUUUGAUAGAUAGACCAUAUUUUUACUUUUAACAAUACACCAAAAAUCCUUUCCUGCUUUGGAAAGAUCUUCCUUAAUAACUUGGAGAAGGAAGGUAAUAUGAUCUACAAUUUAAAUUAAGCUUUAACUAGUGAAAACACAGUUUUCUUCAAUGAAUUAAUAAUUAAGCCCAUGAAAUAAUUUCAAUGAGCAUGAAGAUCUUAUAACUAUAAUUGUCUUAGUAAUUUAUUUUUCUGAUGCAUCUAGGAUUUUCUUCUUCCCCUGUGACUGGUGAAUGAUUAUAAAUUGACUGAUCAUUGUGAUAGCUUCUUCUAAUAUGAACAAUCUAAAUAUCAUGCUUUGCACCCUAUGUUUAAAAGUAACAAUAUAUUCAAACUUAAAAUUCUCCAUGAAUCACCUGACCAUAAAUUUAGUUAGAAAUCAAGGAAGAAGAGUAACCAUGUGUUAUGCCUAUUUCUUAUUAAAAACAAUUUUUAGAUAUUGCUGGGGA